AUUGAACGCUGGCGGAAUGCUUUACACAUGCAAGUCGAACGGCAGCACGGGGGCAACCCUGGUGGCGAGUGGCGAACGGGUGAGUAAUACAUCGGAACGUGCCCAGUCGUGGGGGAUAACGCAGCGAAAGCUGUGCUAAUACCGCAUACGAUCUACGGAUGAAAGCGGGGACCGUAAGGCCUCGCGCGAUUGGAGCGGCCGAUGGCAGAUUAGGUAGUUGGUGGGGUAAAGGCNCACCAAGCCGACGAUCUGUAGCUGGUCUGAGAGGACGACCAGCCACACUGGGACUGAGACACGGCCCAGACUCCUACGGGAGGCAGCAGUGGGGAAUAUUGGACAAUGGGCGCAAGCCUGAUCCAGCCAUGCCGCGUGAGUGAUGAAGGCCCUAGGGUUGUAAAGCUCUUUCGGCGGGACGAUAAUGACGUACCCGCAGAAGAAGCCCCGGCUAACUUCGUGCCAGCAG
rnacentral:rRNA from 1 species